UAUGACCCUCGGCAAUGGAUAUCUUGGCUCUUGCAUCGAUGAAAUGCACAAUGAAAUGUGAUAUGUAGUGUGAAUUGCAGAAUCCCAUGUUGGUACGUCUUCUUGGGCGCCUGGCUAAGGGCACGCCUUCUUGGGCAUCACAG
rnacentral:rRNA from 1 species